rnacentral:rRNA from 1 species
UACAGAGGGUGCGAGCGUUAAUCGGAAUUACUGGGCGUAAAGCGCGCGUAGGCGGCUUUUCAAGUCGAUUGUGAAAUCCCCGGGCUUAACCUGGGAACUGCAGUCGAGACUGUCUAGCUAGAGUAUGGGAGAGGGAAGUGGAAUUUCAGGUGUAGCGGUGAAAUGCGUAGAUAUCGGAAGGAACACCAGUGGCGAAGGCGGCUUCCUGGACUAAUACUGACGCUGAGGUGCGAAAGCGUGGGGAGCAAACAGGG